AUGAAAGAUUACAUGUAAAUCAAGAGUUUUAGCCAAAAUAAAACUAUGAACUAAAGAGCAGGAGGAAUUCCAUUAAUAGAUUCAAGCCUAAAAGAAAUUAAACCCCUAAAUUGUUCUUUUCUAUGGCACUGUGAACAAACCACAGGUCUCCCCAAGUCUCAACCACCCUCCCUCCAAAAAGCCUCUGUGAGUCAGUUUAAGCUGUGACUGACAUUAUAAAUUUUUCUAAAGCAAUUGAAAUGGAACAAAACCAGAACAUCAAAAUGCUCUCCAAACCCAACCUGACCUGACUUGAUAUUUCGCUUGGUUUGACUUUCUAGUGUAAAAAAAAAAUUUGUUUGAGUCAUACUUAAAAUGCACCAGAGAGCUCUGCUGUUUCACAAAGAAAUCCUAAGGUGGAUGCUUUAGAAAAACAAAAACUUUUGUGAAAUAAAUAAUUAUCCACUGACCUAUUUAUUUUGAAAAUGUCAUAUUCUGGGGUCUACUUUGUUUAAGCUACCUGAAUAUCUACAGGUUUUGAUUAUGAUGAUGUGGCAAAGCAAGGUAGAGCUAAUACUAAUUUGGUCCCCAGCAUCUUCAACUAUAUCAAGACAACCUUGCUGAUUAUUUUAAGUUAAAAAGUAAUUAUGGAAUUUGGGUGAUAAAUGGCAUAAUAUAUCCAAUUUUGCAGAGACUGAAAGCUAGAGAGGUGGACAUCUCACACUUUCCACACUCAGAAAUUUUAGGAACUUCAAGAAGCCAAAAUUAGGGCAUUCAUUUUUACAGCUCUGCGUCAGUCUCCACUAGGGUUAUGCUUGUAAGAUAUGAGCGCUCACUCCUCCUUUCUCUCUCCACAGGAGGACCGGGCAGCCUUUUCUGGAGAGCAACCUCAGCCAAGGAGCGGAUGCCAUAAUUGCUUUCCCUUUUACCUCACCACUGGGACAGCUCUGAACACUUUAUAGAGUUUGCUCCCUCAAGCUUGCAUUCCUUACUUCUCAUAGAAGCAAAAUACUGCAUUUCUUUUGAUCUCAUAGAAAUGAAAAGGACUCUCUACGCCAUGGCUUUUGGUCUUGGUUUCUGUUUCUUUGAAUUUGGCUCCUUGGUGGGGUCCUGGGGAUACUUGCACUUCACUAUUGUUCAAGCUUUCAACUGAACUUAGAGGUGAAUUUAAAUCAAUCCCCUAACAACAAAGAGAUGUGUGUCAGGAGGGGUAGUGGUGACUCAGGGACAGAUAAAUGUAACUUCUCUAAGGUGUAAAGCCAUAUACCCUCAUUCCCUAGAGGGGAACAUAUAAAAAGCCACUAGUAGAAUGUCUUCUUCUAUCAAUUUCACCUGUUGAUCUAAUUGUAGGUAGAGAUCCAUAAGGAACUCAUUGAGGGUUAGGGAGAGAUUCGCUACUCAGAUACUGAUUAGGCAAGAAAUGUAACACCAAGUGAAGAAAUGGAGUCCAAGAAUUUUCCUAAUCCUGAAAAAAGUAGGGAGUGUGGAGAGAGGAGUUGAUUAUAUAAAACAGAAGGGCAGAUACAUUGCAAAAAAUGUUAAAUUUUACUGCCAUAUAUGUGACAUUCAAAUUAUUUAUAGCAGGGAGACCUUUAUUUCAAAACUAGCUGUCUGAUCUUGAGCAAAUUACUUAACCUGGCCAACAUAUGCUUCUCUAAUAUGAUCAAUUAGGAAUUAUCUGUACUGAACAGUGUUAUUUUGUGGAUUAAAUGGAAAUGUAAAAACUGGUUGACAUAGUAUCUGAAGCAUAAUGGACUCAGAGAAUAUUAGUUCUCUUCCUUUCCAUGAACUCAACUGUUAAAACACACAAGUGUAUAUAACAGUUCUAUCACUUUAUUUAUUUAUUUAUUUUUCAGAUGGAGUCUCACUCUGUUGCCUAGGUUGGAGUGCAGUGGCUCAAUCUUGGCUCACUGUAACAUCCACCUCCCGGGUUCAAGCAAUUCUCCUGCUUCAGCUCCCCCAAGUAGCUGGGACUACAGGCGCCUGCCACCACACCUGGCUAAUUUUUUUUUUUGUAUUUUUAGUAGAGAUGGGGUUUCACUGUGUUGGCCAGGCUGAGUCUCAAGCACCUGACCUCGUGAUCCGUCUGCCUUGGCUUCCCAAAGUGCUGGGAUUACAGGCAUGAGCCACCACACCUGGCCCUAUCACUUACUUUUGAAGUACCUAUUAAAUCCUAGGUGCUUCACAGAUUUUGCCUACAUUUCAUCAUUUAAUUUACUGUAUAAAUUAAUUCAUCUUUGUCUUAUUCUGUCAGGUUAAUGUUAUCAUUCUCUUUUUACAGAUUUAUUGAGACACAGAGAAAGCCAAGUAACUUGCUCAUAAUUUCACAGCUAGUAAAAGGUAGAAUCAAGAAUUGGAGCCAUAUACUUUGAUACAAAAGUAUUAUCACACUCUUUUCUUUUCCUAAGCCUGCUGACCAAGCUUGCACAGUUCCCUCUGGGGAAAAGAUCUAUCGACCUACUUUAGAUUUUAUCAAAGUGAAAGAGUAUUUUUUAUUCAUUCAAUGAUCAAGAUUGAUUUAUUUUUCUGAAUUACUUCAAGAAACCUUGAGAUAUCUGAUAAUCUAGAAAACAUCUGGUCAUUUCUUCUGUGAGUAUCCUGACUACUAAAACUACGUUACUCAUUUAGUUUUGCCUGGUUUUAAUAUAUAUAUGUCUAUAAAUUAAUAUAUAGAUAUUAUAUAAUAAUAUAUAUACAUGCACAUAUAUACACCAUGUGAUACAGUAUAUAUUCUUUCAUAUCUGACUUUUUCUACUCAACAAUAUAUUUGUUAAGAUCAUUUACUCUGUGUGUGAAGCUGUAGUUCAUUUGUUUUCAAAGAUGACUAGAUUUCUCUGGGAUGAAUAUACCAUAAUGGGACAUUGAACAGUUUUUAUUUGGGGGCUGUGAUGAAUAGUGCUGUGAUCAAUAUUCUUGUACUUGUAUUUUAGUUCAUAAGUCCUUGCAUUUCUGUUGGAGUGGAAUUACUGGAUUAUGAGGUAUGAACAUGCUCAGUUUUAGCAGAUACUGCCAGUUUUCCAAAGUGGUUAUAUGCUUCACACUUCCACCAGCAAUGAGUUCCAGUUGUUCCACAUCCUCAUCAGCAAUGUUAUUGUAAUGAAUAUACUCUCCAGUAGAAACGUUAUUGUUUUGCCUUUCACAAAGAUCUACAAUCCACCUGAAAUACAUAUUUGCAUGUACUCUGACGUAGAGAAUGUUUCAUUUUGUCCACGUGUAUCCAAUUGUCCCAGCAGUACUUAUUAAAAAGAUUAUCGUUUUUCCAUGGUUGUAUAGUGCCACCUUUGUCUUAACUCUAUAGUCCACAUAUGUAGACUCUACUUUUUUUCCCUUGGUUAUCUUUGAUUCCUUGAGAAAAUAUCAU
rnacentral:lncRNA from 10 species